CCAAAUCAGCUUUGUUUAUUUGACAUCAGGUUUUGCUUGAAAACAGAAAAAUAAAUACUUUCGAAAGGUAAAGUUUCAGAUUUGCUACUUUAAUGACACAUCUCUUUUAAUUUUUUUUAUGAAAAAGUUUGAUAUUUUGUAAAGAUGGUGAUAAAUUUUCAGUUCUUACAAGUUCUAAUUAACGCGUCAGUGUCAGCGAUACGAUAAAUUGCGUCACAUAUAGUGUAUAGGAGUUGGGAUGUAAACAACCUUUGCGGGUAGCGAGACGACUUCAGAAGGAAUCAGGCCAUAGCGAGUUGGACUAAACCAUGUGUGGAUGCGUGUGUAUGUGAGUGUGAGUGUAAAUGGUAAUAUGUAGAGAAAUUCUAAUUAACGUCUUGUAACUGAACAAGUAGGAUAGUAUAUGUUAAAAAUCAGGAUUUGUUGUCUCUGAGUGAUGGCAAAUAUAUUGUAGCCAGGUCAGCCAUACCAUAACUAUGCUACAACUUAUGAACAGAAUAUUUAAUUAAUUCCGUUCAUAUAUACGUACGUGUUAAUUAAUGAAACAACUGUUUAAGCACAAGCAGCUCAUUGGACGGAAUAAUGAUAUGGUGGUGGCUUAUAUGGAGAGUAACCUUCUAAGAGAGUCAGCUGCGAGCUGGUAUUCAGGUCUUUAUUUAUGCCACAUAUGCUGAAACUAAAGUUUAUGCCACGGCUUCUUAAAGGACUUAAUGGGAACCGAGAUUGGAACCUAUAAGGGAUGAGCAACAGGCUCAGCCCUGGCGUGCUCGUGGCUGAGCAGAAAGCACAAGCUCUUAUUAUUCUGUUUAGCACAUAGAUAUAUGUUGGUUGAUGUUUCUAAAGAGUUCUUUCCUGAUGUAGCUGUUGGAUAUGAGGAUCCUUGUGUCAGACUUCACAUUGGCGAUGUAGUUGCAUACUUGAAGACUGCUCCUGAAGGGAGUUAUCAUGCUGUUAUAGUAAAAAUAUUGAUGUUUUAACUUUUAAGCGUCAAAUUUCUGUAUGAGCAAGGCAGUGGUGUUACUGAAAUCAUGUUAUGUUCAACUGAGGGACCUGAAGCUGACCUCAAGAAUAGAUGAAAACCACAAGCAACGUAAAUCUGUUGUAUCCUUGAAGUUCUAUAACAAAGAGGCUAAGGCAACAAAGUGGUUGCAGAAUAUGAGCGUAGGUUUUAUAGAGUUCUCGGUUUCCAAAUGUUAUUCUUUUAAAACAUCCCGACUGAUAUUGAUCUUUGAAAACCCUAUCACAUUACUUGAGGGCCUGUUUUCGGUGGAUGUGACUGUAUGUAACGACUUUAGCAAGUCUUGAAU